AUCCUGGUCCAGGAUGAACGCUAGCGGCGUGGAUAAGGCAUGCAAGUCAAACGGCCCCACCUUUCUUUGAAAGAUGGGGGAGUGGCGAACGGGUUAGUAACACGUAGAUUACUUAUCCCUUACACGGGCAUAACCCACCGAAAGGUGGAUUAAUUCCCGAUAGUAUCGCCGGAUGAGGCGAUUAAAGGAGUAAUCCGGUAAGGGGAAGGUCUGCGGCCUAUCAGCUUGUUGGUGAGGUAAUGGCUUACCAAGGCUAUGACGGGUAGGCGGAGUGAGAGCUUGACCGCCAACAUUGGCACUGCGAUACUGGCCAAACACCUACGGGUGGCUGCAGUCGAGAAUAUUGGACAAUGCGCGAAAGCGUGAUCCAGCGACGCCGCGUGCUUGAGGAAGUUCUUCGGAAUGUAAAGAGCUUUUCUCCGUGAACAAGUUUUUAUAUUGAGCGUAGCGGAGGAAUAAGGGGGUGCUAAUCACGUGCCAGCAGCCGCGGUAAGACGUGAUCCCCAAGUGUUAUCCGGAUUUAUUGGGCGUAAAGCGUCCGUAGGCGGUUUAAUAAGUCGAGUGUUAAAAGCCAAGGCCUAACCUUGGAGAUGCAUUCGAAACUGUUAGACUAGAGGUCGUUAGGGGCUGAUGGAACGCACGGUGUAGGGGUGAAAUCCGUUGAUAUCGUGCGGAACACCAAAAGCGAAGGCAUUCAGCUGGGGCGAUCCUGACGCUGAGGGACGAAAGCGUGGGUAGCAAAAAGGAUUAGAUACCCUUGUAGUCCACGCUGUAAACGAUGGACACUAGCUAUUUGGAGUGUCGACCCUCUAAGUGGCGAAGCUAACGCGUUAAGUGUCCCGCCUGGGAAUUACGGCCGCAAGGCUAAAACUCAAAGGAAUAGACGGGGACUCACACAAGCGGUGGACCAUGUGGCUUAAUUCGAUAAUAAGCGAGGAACCUUACCAGGGCUUGACAGACUAGUGAAAGCCUGCAGAAACGUAGGCCUACCCACAAGGACACUAGCCCAGGUGCUGCAUGGUUGUCGUCAGCAGGUGCCUUGAGGUGCUCCCUUAGAUGGGGUAACCUGCGCAACCCUUACUCUAUGUUUCAUGUGUCAUGGAGAACUGCCUCAGACAACGAGGAGGAAGGUGAGGAUGACGCCAAAUCAGCAUGGCCCUUUGAUGCCCUGGGCUGCACACGUGGUACAAUGGGACCGACAAUGGGUCGCUAAGCCGUAAGGUGGAGCUAAUCCCAUCAAACGGUCUCUCAGUUCGGACUGAGGUCUGCAAUUCGACCUCACGAAGCCGGAAUCGCUAGUAAUCGCCAAUCAGCAACGUGGCGAUGAAUACGUACCUGAGUCCUGUACUCACCGCCCGUCACGUCAAGCGAGCUGGGAACAGCCGAAGUCCUCACGAAGUGGGGCCUAAGCUGGAUUCAGUAAGAAGGACGAAGUCGUAACAAGGCACCGGUAGCGGAAGCUGUCGGUG
rnacentral:rRNA from 1 species